AGAGUUCGAUCAUGGCUCAGGAUGAACGCUAGCGGCAGGCCUAACACAUGCAAGUCGAGGGGUAGAGGCAGCUUGCUGCUUUGGGACCGGCGCACGGGUGCGUAACGCGUAUGCAAUCUACCUUUUACUAAGGGAUAGCCCAGAGAAAUUUGGAUUAAUACCUUAUAGUAUGUUUGAAUGGCAUCGUUUAAACAUUAAAGAUUUAUUGGUAAAAGAUGAGCAUGCGUCCCAUUAGUUAGUUGGUAAGGUAACGGCUUACCAAGACGAUGAUGGGUAGGGGUCCUGAGAGGGAGAUCCCCCACACUGGUACUGAGACACGGACCAGACUCCUACGGGAGGCAGCAGUGAGGAAUAUUGGUCAAUGGAGGCAACUCUGAACCAGCCAUGCCGCGUGCAGGAUGACGGUCCUAUGGAUUGUAAACUGCUUUUGUACAGGAAGAAAAAGUACCACGUGUGGUAUAUUGACGGUACUGUAAGAAUAAGGAUCGGCUAACUCCGUGCCAGCAGCCGCGGUAAUACGGAGGAUCCAAGCGUUAUCCGGAAUCAUUGGGUUUAAAGGGUCCGUAGGCGGCUUUAUAAGUCAGUGGUGAAAGUUUGCAGCUUAACUGUAAAAUUGCCAUUGAUACUGUAAGGCUUGAAUUUUUGUGAAGUAACUAGAAUAUGUAGUGUAGCGGUGAAAUGCUUAGAUAUUACAUGGAAUACCAAUUACGAAGGCAGGUUACUAACAAACGAUUGACGCUGAUGGACGAAAGCGUGGGUAGCGA
rnacentral:rRNA from 1 species